rnacentral:rRNA from 1 species
AUUGAACGCUGGCGGCAGGCCUAACACAUGCAAGUCGAGCGAGCGGCGGACGGGUGAGUAAUGUCUGGGAAACUGCCCGAUGGAGGGGGAUAACUACAGGAAACGGUAGCUAAUACCGCAUACCAUCGGAGGUGCCCAGAUGGGAUUAGCUAGUAGGUGGGGUAAUGGCUCACCUAGGCGACGAUCCCUAGCUGGUCUGAGAGGAUGACCCGCCACACUGGAACUGAGACACGGUCCAGACUCCUACGGGAGGCAGCAGUGGGGAAUAUUGCACAAUGGGCGCAAGCCUGAUGCAGCCAUGCCGCGUGUAUGAAGAAGGCCUUCGGGUUGUAAAGUACUUUCAGUGGGGAGGCGUUACUCGCAGAAGAAGCACCGGCUAACUCCGUGCCAGCAGCCGCGGUAAUAC